rnacentral:rRNA from 1 species
GAUGAACGCUGGCGGCGUGCCUAAUACAUGCAAGUCGAGCGAACAGACGAGGAGCUUGCUCCUCUGACGUUAGCGGCGGACGGGUGAGUAACACGUGGAUAACCUACCUAUAAGACUGGGAUAACUUCGGGAAACCGGAGCUAAUACCGGAUAAUAUAUUGAACCGCAUGGUUCAAUAGUGAAAGACGGUUUUGCUGUCACUUAUAGAUGGAUCCGCGCCGCAUUAGCUAGUUGGUAAGGUAACGGCUUACCAAGGCAACGAUGCGUAGCCGACCUGAGAGGGUGAUCGGCCACAUGGGAACUGGGACACGGUCCAGACUCCUAGGGGAGGCAGCAGUGGGGAACCUUCCGCAAUGGGCGAAAGCCUGACGGAGAAACGCCGCGGGGGUGAUGAAGGUCUUCGGUUCGUAAAACUCUGUUAUUAGGGAAGAACAAAUGUGUAAGUAACUAUGCCCGUCUUGACGGUACCUAAUCAGAAAGCCACGGCUAACUACGU